rnacentral:rRNA from 1 species
ACGGGAGGCAGCAGUGGGGAAUAUUGGGCAAUGGGCGCAAGCCUGACCCAGCAACGCCGCGUGAAGGAAGAAGGCUUUCGGGUUGUAAACUUCUUUUGUGAGGGACGAGAAGAAGACGGUACCUCAUGAAUAAGCCACGGCUAACUCCGUGCCAGCAGCCGCGGUAAUACGGAGGAUGCGAGCGUUAUCCGGAUUUAUUGGGUUUAAAGGGUGCGCAGGCGGUCUUUUAAGUCAGUGGUCAAAUCGUGGUGCUCAACGCCAUCCCGCCAUUGAUACUGGGAGACUUGAUUGCGGUUGAGGUAGGCGGAAUUCGUCGUGUAGCGGUGAAAUGCAUAGAUAUGACGAAGAACACCGAUUGCGUAGGCAGCUUACCAAGCCGUAAAUGACGCUCAUGCACGAAAGUGCGGGGAUCGAACAGGAUUAGAUACCCUGGUA